AGGUGAAUGCCAGAAUCACAGGUUGUGGUAUCCGAUCUGUGAGUUUCCACGGUGAUAUUCUGACCAUCGGUACUGGCGUGGGUGCCAUCAUGUUCUAUGAUAUGCGAGCCGGGAGGUACAUGGAGUCCACCAUGAAUAGUGGCCGAGCAGUGGUCCUGAAGAGCACGAAGGGUUGGGUGAGCGCAGACGAACCCUACCACGACGUAUUUCAUAAUGUGGAAUACACACCAGCUAUAUACACACAUUGUUAUGAUUGGUCUGGCAUGAGGUUGUUUGCAGCAGGUGGCCCUUUGCCUGCUUCCCUCAAGGGCAACUAUGCUGCUCUUUGGUGCUAAAAGUUUACAGAUGAAAAUGG